rnacentral:lncRNA from 1 species
ACUGAUGAUGCUCUAACUAGAGCGAAACACGUGUAGCCCGUUUAAUUACAUGUUGUGAGACCGUAACUAUGUGUUUUUCUUUGUUUCUCGUCAAUCUAUAGUAAAUACAGAGAGAAAAGGGAAGGUCUUAUUAUAUAUUAUAAUCAGAAAUAAAUUUCAUGGACAUAUUACUUACUUAUUUCUGGGUAUCAUGCUUCAGAGAACCAUGAUGUAUUACAAUACGCUCCGCUCUUUAAUUUUAGUUUAUUUAUAUUCUCAAAACUUGCAUAUAUCAAAAUUAUGUCAGGGUUCUAAAAUGAAUCGGUAAUAAAAUCGUAAACCAGAUCAACAUUGGAAAUAAUUUAAAAAAUUUGCUUUGGUCCGAUUGAAAAAAGUACUAUACUACCAAAUAGUUACAUCUAUUCUGUAGCAAUAAAAGUUAUAAAAUUCUGUCUAUUAUUAAUUUUAAUAUUAUAAAGUGUAUCGUUUAACUCUUAGCCAUUAUUUAUAAUUUAAUUGUUAAUUAUGCCUAAAAAAACGAAUUAACAACUUUGGUAUUGUUUGGAAGGUAAACAGCUUAAUUCCUUUAUGUAAAGCCACCUUAACAUGUUUUUGCAUAAUUCUGACUCACGUUGGUUGCUAUCGGGCUUAAGCCAUAAAAAUCGAAGAAAAAAAGAAGAAGACGAAGAGACUUUCACUUGUCAUUUCAAUGUCACUUUCCGGCCCACAAGCAUAAACGCCACCGGCAACGGAAGUUCCCAAAAUCCAAACAAAUGUUGGAAGAUAUUUUUAAGUCUCCGCAUCUUUCUUACUUUCCUAUAUGAAAAUAAAAUUGGACUACACCAACAAAGGUUAUGUGUUUUGCACCAGAUUGAAAGCAUCAUAGCGAAAAACGGACCUGUCAUAUCUUUAAAUUUUCAAAAAAGCCCCUGGAAAAAGAAAAAUGAAUAUCUUUGCCAAUGAAUAGGCAAAUGGAUAAAAAACCUUCAGUCCAUGCAUUGGUAUGUAAUUGUUGACAAAAAUACAAUGAAUGGCCUCACUACUUUUCCACAUGCAAAGAGGUUAACCAAGGAGAAAUUAAAGAAAUUGUCAAAAACCUAGGUAAAUACAGAAUUGCUUAGUACAAACAUAUCUAUACCCAGUACAAGUUCGUCCACUUCUUUGAAGCAUGGUACUUCAAACAGAAACACUGUCAACAAUUUUGUAGAAGGUGAGCCGGUGUCAAAUUCCAGUAAGGGACAUGAUUUCAAUUUUGCACCAACAGCAGAGCUAAAAUUCAUUUUGUCGCAAAAAACUGGAGGAUGUGAAAGAAAAAAGUGCAGAAGUUAAAAUUAAGUUUUUCAUAUGAGCACAUAAAAAAUAAUCAUGACAAAGUUCAGUUGUAUACAGGUUUGACAUGUAAUAAAUAUUUUUGUAAUCUUAUUAAGUUAAUUAGUUUUAUAUAUUAUUUAAAUAAUAAUUGUAUACUUCACAUAGAAUAUGCAGAAAUUAUAUGUACAUAUAUAAAUUUUUUUAUUAAGAUAAGGACAACAUGUAUUAAAGCAUAACACAUAAUAUAAACACACACGUAAUAUCUUCAUUA